rnacentral:rRNA from 1 species
GACGAACGCUGGCGGCGUGCCUAAUACAUGCAAGUCGAACGCAGUGGGGACGGGUGAGUAACACGUGGGUAACCUCCCAUCAGAGGGGAUAACACUUGGAAACAGUUGCUAAACCGCUACUGAUGGAGGGACCCGCGGUGCAUUAGCUAGUUGGGGGGGUAACGGCUCACCAUGGCCACGAUGCAUAGCCGACAUGUGAGUGUGAUCGGCCACACUGGGAUAGAGACACGGCCCAGAUUCCGUCGGGAGGCAGAAGUAGGGAAGCUUCGGCAAUGGACGAAAGUCGGACCGAGCAACGCCGCGUGAGUGAAGAAGGUUUUCGGAGCGUAAAACUCUGUUGUUAGAGAAGCGGUAUCUAACCAGAAAGCCACGGCUAACUACGUGCCAGCAGCCGCGGUAAUAC